CAGCCGGCACAAGCGGCGGCGUCCAGAAACAGCGGCGCGCUUCGGAGAAGCCGUAGUGGCUUCCAGGUGAUGGGGGAGCAGGAGUCAGGUCUGCGCGGAGAUGAAGAUGUUUUCAGUCUGCAUGCCUGAGAUGGUGUGGAAUGGGACUUUGUCUACCAGGCUCAUUUGUUGGACCUGAUGUUCUCCAGGUUUCUUCAUGUGGCUGCAGGUGGCAGGAUUUCUCAGAGCUUUAUG